UGUAAUGAUGGGAGGGAGGAUAUAAGGCAGGACUUACGGGUCCUAGCCAGCUGUGCUCCACCUGGUCCGUGAGGCAGUGUGGAGUCCAAAACGACCCUCAAGCCUGAUGCCAGUUCCGGAAGCCCCGUCGGCAACUCUGCCACCUUACACUCCUCUCCCCGUGGAACUGCCUGGGGGUGCUGGCAUGGGGACAUGAGGGAUGUCUGACAGGAGAAACAAGCAUUUCAAGAGUGUGUGGUUGGCUUCGCUGUCCUUUAGGGGGAGGAACUGGAAUCAGUCAACAGGCAAGCCCGACUCCCAGUUCCAGCCCGAACACUGGUCAGCUGAAGACAACGCUGCCACCUUCAUCUCUUCCCUGCCUGUCCUGCUUACAACAGUUGCAAGAAGUUUAUACCCACAUUAAGCCCCCAGAGGCAGGCUGGCAGCCAGCCUUCACCACUGGUGCAGAAAACUGAGUCAACCACCCGGUGUUCCUGGCUGCUCCCCCUGAGAAGCUUUCCCACCCUGUUCCCUGAGUCGAGAGUCUUGGCUGGGCACCUGCUGCACUGUGGACGUGCGGACGCGGCCUCCAGAAGGGGGAAGGGAGCCCUGGCUGGCUUUUCUGAGACGUGUUGAGUGGCUUGCCAUUGAAGACUGUUUCCUCACUCAGGCAGCUGCAUGCCCCAAGUGAGUGACUUCCUCUCUCUGGACUCAGUUUCUGAAUCUGUAGACAGAGAGGGUGGACCAGAUGGUCUUGGAAGUGCCUUCCAGGUCACAUCUCUCCUGUUCCUAACAGCAGGUGGAAGCAGGUGAGGAGGGCAGUCGGGCAGAGAGGAAUGGAGAGGAAUUCCCCCACAGAGGCUCUUGGGAACCACACAAUUCCCCAUUCUGGUGCCACCUGCUUCAAGGGUGUGAGUGAGAGCAGUGCUGGCCUUGAAGCCUACGUCGGUGGGUAGUCUGGCCUCCCCAGAUGUGUCCUUAGGUGUCAUGGGAUCCAUAUCUGGAUCAUCAAGGAGACCUCACUUAGGCUUCUCUUGACUUACCAGGAAAGGCUUAGUCUUGCUUCGGGCAGGCAGCUGCCUCUGGGGCCCAGGCCUGUGGCCCCAGGGGAAAGAAUUGUUGCCCCAAGAUGCUCAUGCAAUGUUGUGUAACUGUGGCAAGGCUGUGCCAUUUUAGCUGGGAUCAACACGCUAAUGGGCACAGGUCCCGGGGGAGUGCAGGUGCCUCCUGGGUGCAAAGUGGCCCUCAUCCCCAUAGCACACAAUGUCUGCACAGCUGAGGCUGGAAGGGACUGGCUGAGGGCCGUGCUGGUGUGGGCAGAUCCCUGGAAGGUCACCUGGGCCAUCUCCUCAUUCUAAAGAUGAGAAGAACGAGGCUUGGAGAGGAUGAGUGUCUUGUUGAGGGUUGCACAGCAAGUUGGGGACACAGCUGCAGGAAAUCCAAGUCUCCUGAUUCCUAGCCCAUGAUAUUUUCUCUCCCACCAAGUUGAAAGGCUGAGGUGAUGGGAGGCCUGGCAUACCACAGAUGGAAACUUGCGUCGUUGCCCCCGGGGCUCAGAUGAUUCUCUAAAAAUGUGUCUGAGGAAGUGAGAGUGCAGGGCCUCUCCUCACACGUUGGAGCUGUAAGUAGGGCACGUGCUUUCAGCUCCAGGCAGGACUGGAGAAGGUUAUGGAAGGGCAGCCAACCAAGAAGCACUUAUUUAAGCAUUUUUAUGUGCCUAGCCCUGAGCUAGGCAUAGUAGGGCAUAAAGGAGCUUUGAAGGACCCUCCCAACACAGCAAUUUCACUGCAGCUGGUGAGCAAAUUUAACUCACAAAUCAAUUACAAAAACAACCCCAUGCAAGCUACUGUUUGUGUAAUAAAAUGUAAGAACAUAUAUUUGUAUUUGCGUAAAGGAAAUCUGGAAGGAUAUAAAAAGAUAAUAAAAGUGUUAACUAAACAGUUACGUGAUGGGGUGGGGGUGAGAUUUUUGUCCUUUGUACCUUUUAAUUACAAAAUUAUUUUGAACUACGUGAAUGCAUUU
rnacentral:lncRNA from 1 species